GUCUACAGCCAUACCACCAUGAACGCACCCAAUCUCAUCAGAUCUCAGAAGCUCAGUAGGACUGGCGAGCACUUUGAUGGAAAAAAAAUUCAUUGUUUUAAAAAUGUGAACUUGGGGCCAGAGAGAUGGCUUAGAGG
rnacentral:rRNA from 1 species